ACUAUGGAGAGUUUGAUCCUGGCUCAGGAUGAACGCUAGCGGCAGGCCUAAUACAUGCAAGUCGAACGGUUCAUGGUUUUCGGAUCAUGGAUAGUGGCGCACGGGUGCGUAACGCGUACACAACAUACCCUUUACUGG
rnacentral:rRNA from 1 species